AUUGAACGCUGGCGGCAUGCUUUACACAUGCAAGUCGAACGGUAACAGGCCGCAAGGUGCUGACGAGUGGCGAACGGGUGAGUAAUGCAUCGGAACGUGCCCAGUCGUGGGGGAUAACUGCUCGAAAGAGCAGCUAAUACCGCAUACGAUCUAUGGAUGAAAGCGAGGGACCGUAAGGCCUCGCGCGAUUGGAGCGGCCGAUGUCAGAUUAGGUAGUUGGUGGGGUAAAGGCUCACCAAGCCAACGAUCUGUAGCUGGUCUGAGAGGACGACCAGCCACACUGGGACUGGGACACGGCCCAGACUCCUACGGGAGGCAGCGGUGGGGAAUUUUGGACAAUGGGGGCAACCCUGAUCCAGCAAUGCCGCGUGCAGGAAGAAGGCCUUCGGGUUGUAAACUGCUUUUGUACGGAACGAAACGGUCUGGGUUAAUACCCUGGGCUAAUGACGGUACCGUAAGAAUAAGCACCGGCUAACUACGUGCCAGCCGCCGCCGUAAAAC
rnacentral:rRNA from 1 species